rnacentral:rRNA from 1 species
CACGUAGGGUGCAAGCGUUGUCCGGAAUUAUUGGGCGUAAAGAGCUCGUAGGCGGUUCGUCGCGUCGGCUGUGAAAUCCCGAGGCUCAACCUCGGGUCUGCAGUCGAUACGGGCGGACUGGAGUACUGCAGGGGAGACUGGAAUUCCUGGUGUAGCGGUGAAAUGCGCAGAUAUCAGGAGGAACACCGGUGGCGAAGGCGGGUCUCUGGGCAGUUACUGACGCUGAGGAGCGAAAGCGUGGGGAGCGAACAGG